GGUGACCUGCGGAGGGAUCAUUACAGAGACUCUGCCCCCUGGGUAGACCUCCCACCCUGUGUCGUUGUACCUUUGUUGCUUUGGCGGGCCGCGGGGCCCCGGCCCUGCCCCCGGCUCCGGCUGGGGCGCGCCCGCCAGAGGACCUCAAAACCUGAACGUUAGUGUCGUCUGAGUGCUAUAUAAUAGUUAAAACUUUCAACAACGGAUCUCUUGGUUCUGGCAUCGAUGAAGAACGCAGCGAAAUGCGAUAAGUAAUGUGAAUUGCAGAAUUCAGUGAAUCAUCGAAUCUUUGAACGCACAUUGCGCCCCUUGGUAUUCCGGGGGGCAUGCCUGUUCGAGCGUCAUUACAACCCUCAAGCUCUGCUUGGUCUUGGGCGUCACCGGUCCCCGGUGUGCCUUAAAAUCAGUGGCGGCGCCACCUGGCUCUAAGCGUAGUACAUCCUCUCGCUACAGACGCCCGGUGGAUGCUGGCCAGCAACCCCCCAUCUAUCAAGGUUGACCUCGGAUCAGGUAGGGAUACCCGCUGAACUUAAGCAUAUCAAUAAGCGGAGGAAAAGAAACCAACAGGGAUUACCUCAGUAACGGCGAGUGAAGCGGUAACAGCUCAAAUUUGAAAUCUGGGUCUUUCAGGCUCCGAGUUGUAAUUUGUAGAAGAUGCUUUGGGUGCGGCCCCGGUCUAAGUUCCUUGGAACAGGACGUCAUAGAGGGUGAGAAUCCCGUAUGUGAUCGGUGGCCUGCGCCCGUGUAAAGCUCUUUCGACGAGUCGGGUUGUUUGGGAAUGCAGCUCUAAAUG
rnacentral:rRNA from 1 species